AACGCACAUUGCGCCCUUUGGUAUUCCGAGGGGCAUGCCUGUUCGAGCGUCAUUUACACCACUCAAGCCUGGCUUGGUAUUGGGGUCUGCACACCAGCAGCCCCUAAACGCAGUGGCGGCACCGGUGGGUUCUUCGCGUAGUAAUUCUCUCGCGAUAGGGUCCCCCGGUAGUCUGCCAACAACCUAUACCAUCAAGGUUGACCUCGGAUCAGGUAGGGAUACCCGCUGAACUUAA
rnacentral:misc_RNA from 1 species